UUUAAUGAGCACAUUCCACAAGAAAGUAAACGCUUUCGCUGCUAAACAUAAAGCUACAAAUUAUACUAGAUUGUAACAAAACUAAAAACAAAAAUAAAGUGAUACAAUAAACCAGCCCAUUGCAAACCACAGCUGCAAAAGAAAAACAUUUUGCUUCCCUAUUUUAUAACAUUAUGGAUAUUUCAGCACACAACACAUACGUUCUGUGGAAAGAGCGAAAUCCCAGAUGGAAGGCAAGCAAAAAGCAAAGUCGCAGAAUAUUCCUGCAGGAGCGCCCAUCGCACCCAAUUUGGAGAAGCCCAGCUCAGUGAACGGGGCAAUCUUUUAAUUCUGAAGGGCAUUCAUGCGGAAAAAGGGGUGUAAUGUGUCCAGAUGGCCCUGCAGUGCUCUGCCACAUGAACGUCAGCGAGACGGUUCAUCAUGUGGCAUUCUUACUUUAAAAUUUGCUGAGUGCAUCUUGAAGGGAGUGCCAAUCAACAUCCUGACCACAGAGGAGGCUGUGAACCAGAUGAGGUGGGAUGUUGCAAUGAAACUUCUUGAAGAAUCAGACAAUCUCAGCAACCUGUGUCAUUAUUGUGGGUUGGAUGAAAAUGAAGACCCAAAUUGGGUAAU